rnacentral:rRNA from 1 species
UACGUAGGGCGCAAGCGUUGUCCGGAAUUAUUGGGCGUAAAGAGCUUGUAGGUGGCUUGUCGCGUCUGCCGUGAAAACCCGAGGCUCAACCUCGGGCGUGCGGUGGGUACGGGCAGGCUAGAGUGUGGUAGGGGAGACUGGAACUCCUGGUGUAGCGGUGAAAUGCGCAGAUAUCAGGAAGAACACCGAUGGCGAAGGCAGGUCUCUGGGCCAUUACUGACACUGAGAAGCGAAAGCAUGGGUAGC